UGGCGGACGGGUGAGUAACGCGUAAAGAACUUGCCCUUUAGACUGGGAUAACAGAGGGAAACUUCUGAUAAUACUGGAUAAGUUAGUAUAUCGCAUGAUAUACAAAUGAAAGCUACGGCACUAAAGGAGAGCUUUGCGUCCUAUUAGCUAGUUGGUAAGGUAAGAGCUUACCAAGGCGAUGAUAGGUAGCCGGCCUGAGAGGGUGGACGGCCACAAGGGGACUGAGAUACGGCCCUUACUCCUACGGGAGACAGCAGGA
rnacentral:rRNA from 1 species